rnacentral:piRNA from 3 species
CAUGAUACUGUAAACGCUUUCUGAUG